CCUACGGGGGGCAGCAGUGAGGAAUAUUGGUCAAUGGACGAGAGUCUGAACCAGCCAAGUAGCGUGAAGGAUGACUGCCCUAUGGGUUGUAAACUUCUUUUAUAUGGGAAUAAAACGUUCCACGUGUGGGAUUUUGUAUGUACCAUAUGAAUAAGGAUCGGCUAACUCCGUGCCAGCAGCCGCGGUAAUACGGAGGAUCCGAGCGUUAUCCGGAUUUAUUGGGUUUAAAGGGAGCGUAGGUGGAUUGUUAAGUCAGUUGUGAAAGUUUGCGGCUCAACCGUAGAAUUGCAGUUGAAACUGGCAGUCUUGAGUACAGUAGAGGUGGGCGGAAUUCGUGGUGUAGCGGUGAAAUGCUUAGAUAUCACGAAGAACUCCGAUUGCGAAGGCAGUUCACUGGACUGCAACUGACACUGAGGCUCGAAAGUGUGGGUAUCAAACAGGAUUAGAUACCCCUGUAGUC
rnacentral:rRNA from 1 species